CCUUAGAUGUUCUGGGCCGCACGCGCGCUACACUGAUACGUUCAUCGAGUUUACAACCUGGUCUGAGAGGUCUGGGUAAUCUUUUAAAACCGUAUCGUGCUGGGGAUAGAUUAUUGUAAUUAUUAAUCUUCAACGAGGAAUUCCUAGUAAGCGCGAGUCAUCAACUCGCACUGAUUACGUCCCUGCCCUUUGUACACACCGCCCGUCGCUGCUACCGAUUGAAUGCAUUAGUGAGCCUUAAGGGUCGUCCAUCUUAGUGGGCAACUGCUUUGGUGUGAUGAAAGUUAAUGCAAACUUGCGCAUUUAGAGGAAGCAAAAGUCGUAACAAGGUU
rnacentral:rRNA from 1 species